UUUUUACCAACUGGUUCUGUUAUGUUGCUGUGCUCCACUGUAUCAUCAUAUUCUAUCGGUUCAUCAUUAGAAUUUGUUCGAUCAACCAUAUCAACGGAAUCAUGCUGGGUCGGCGAAACAAUGGGCAAUGUGCUUGUUUUUACCGUGGCCGUUUUCGACGAAGGAAACGCAGUUUUCAAGUCCGAUGGCGACCCAGUAACACGAGGACAAUAUCACUGUUUUGCAAACACACAAACGAUGCACGGCUGUAAAAUACUAUAUUAGAGUUCCACUAUUCAAAUAACUCCGACGCGUUCAACUAUUUGGCCGAUA